UACGGAGGAUCCGAGCGUUAUCCGGAUUUAUUGGGUUUAAAGGGUGCGUAGGCGGUUUGAUAAGUUAGAGGUGAAAUGUCGGGGCUCAACCCCGACACUGCCUCUAAUACUGUUGGACUAGAGAAUAGUUGCGGUAGGCGGAAUGUAUGGUGUAGCGGUGAAAUGCUUAGAGAUCAUACAGAACACCGAUUGCGAAGGCAGCUUACCAAACUAUAUCUGACGUUGAGGCACGAAAGCGUGGGUAGCAAACAGG
rnacentral:rRNA from 1 species